rnacentral:rRNA from 1 species
AUUGAACGCUGCGGCAUGCCUUACACAUGCAAGUCGAACGGCAGCGCGGGAGCAAUCCUGCGGCGAGUGCGAACGGGUGAGUAAUAUAUCGGAACGUGCCCAGUAGUGGGGGAUAGCCCGGCGAAAGCCGGAUUAAUACCGCAUACGACCUGAGGGUGAAAGCGGGGGAUCGCAAGACCUCGCGCUACUGGAGCGGCCGAUAUCAGAUUAGCUAGUUGGUGGGGUAAAGGCCUACCAAGGCAACGAUCUGUAGUUGGUCUGAGAGGACGACCAGCCACACUGGGACUGAGACACGGCCCAGACUCCUACGGGAGGCAGCAGUGGGGAAUUUUGGACAAUGGGCGCAAGCCUGAUCCAGCAAUGCCGCGUGCAGGAAGAAGGCCUUCGGGUUGUAAACUGCUUUUGUCAGGGAAGAAAUCUUCU